UACAGAGGGUGCGAGCGUUGUUCGGAAUUAUUGGGCGUAAAGGGCGCGUAGGCGGUGCGGUAAGUCACCUGUGAAAUCUCCCGGCUCAACCGGGAGCUUGCAGGCGAAACUGCCGUGCUGGAGUGUGGGAGAGGUGCGUGGAAUUCCCGGUGUAGUGGUGGAAUGCGUAGAUAUCGGGAGGAACACCAGUGGCGAAGGCGGUUGCCUGGAGCUUUGCUGACGCUGAGGCUGCGAAAGCGUGGGGAGCGAGUCCGG
rnacentral:rRNA from 1 species